rnacentral:misc_RNA from 1 species
CUGAAUCAGGAAGACCAUUUCUUGGUCGAACAGCUCUUCUAAUCCCCAAUCUCAGCUCUCCAUUUUCACCCCUCAGAAAUAGCACCGCAUCCCCUGAAACAAGAUUCUUUUGACUCACAAAAAUACUCCACCCUGUAGUAAGCAGAUGCCGUCUCGGUUGACCUCUAUAUAUAUGUCGAAAUCUCCACUCUACUCCAUGCAGGUCUUUGGCCACAAGCUCUUGAGACGGUCUCUGCUGUUUGUAAUCCAAAGGAGGGAAACAGUCUUCGGCAGCUCUACG